rnacentral:rRNA from 1 species
GAUGAACGCUGGCGGCGUGCCUAAUACAUGCAAGUCGAGCGAACAGACGAGGAGCUUGCUCCUCUGACGUUAGCGGCGGACGGGUGAGUAACACGUGGAUAACCUACCUAUAAGACUGGGAUAACUUCGGGAAACAGGAGCUAAUACCGGAUAAUAUAUUGAACCGCAUGGUUCAAUAGUGAAAGACGGUUUUGCUGUCACUUAUAGAUGGAUCCGCGCCGCAUUAGCUAGUUGGUAAGGUAACGGCUUACCAAGGCGACGAUGCGUAGCCGACCUGAGAGGGUGAUCGGCCACACUGGAACUGAGACACGGUCCAGACUCCUACGGGAGGCAGCAGUAGGGAAUCUUCCGCAAUGGGCGAAAGCCUGACGGAGCAACGCCGCGUGAGUGAUGAAGGUCUUCGGAUCGUAAAACUCUGUUAUUAGGGAAGAACAAAUGUGUAAGUAACUAUGCACGUCUUGACGGUACCUAAUCAGAAAGCCACGGCUAACUACGUG